AUUAUAUUUAGAUACAAUAUGCAAUGGUGUAAAUCUGGACCAAAUACUUUCUAUAACAGAGUCAAUGGGGUGAGAUGAUCACUCCCUAAGUUCCAGUCAAUGGGGUGAGAUGACCACUCUCUAAGGUCACCUUGUUCUAUUGGAUAGAAACUGAGUCAAUGUGGGAAGAACUAGAAUUUGGAUAAAGUUCAUCAAAGAUGCUGAGCAAAGAAAGAAAAGGUUAAGGAAUGUAGGAAGGGAGGGCUUCCCUGGUGGCUCAGCAGUAAAGAAUCCACCUGACAACGCAGGAGACACGGG